CCUACGGGAGGCAGCAGUGAGGAAUAUUGGUCAAUGGCCGCGAGCCUGAACCAGCCAAGUCGCGUGAAGGAUGACUGCCCUACGGGUUGUAAACUUCUUUUAUAAAGGAAUAAAGUUAGGCACGUGUGCCUUUUUGUAUGUACUUUCUGAAUAAGGAUCGGCUAACUCCGUGCCAGCAGCCGCGGUAAUACGGAGGAUCCGAGCGUUAUCCGGAUUUAUGGGGUUUAAAGGGUUCGUAGGUGGCCGGUUAAGUCAGGGGGGAAUGUCUGUGGCUCAACCGGUGAAUUGCCGUUGAUACUGGGAGGCUGGAGUGUGGAUGAGGUAGGCGGAAUGCGUGGUGUAGCGGUGAAAUGCAUAGAUAUCACGCAGAACACCGAUUGCGAAGGCAGCCUACGAAGCCGUGACUGACGCUGAUGCACGAAAGCGUGGGGAUCAAACAGGAUUAGAUACCCGAGUAGUC
rnacentral:rRNA from 1 species